ACGGAGGGGGCUAGCGUUGUUCGGAAUUACUGGGCGUAAAGCGCACGUAGGCGGCUUUGUAAGUCAGAGGUGAAAGCCCGGAGCUUAACUCCGGAAUUGCCUUUGAGACUGCAUCGCUUGAAUCCAGGAGAGGUGAGUGGAAUUCCGAGUGUAGAGGUGAAAUUCGUAGAUAUUCGGAAGAACACCAGUGGCGAAGGCGACUUACUGGACACAUAUUGACGCUGAGGUGCGAAAGCGUGGGGAGCAAACAGGA
rnacentral:rRNA from 1 species